rnacentral:rRNA from 1 species
ACACCUACGGGUGGCUGCAGUCGAGAAUCUUCGGCAAUGGACGAAAGUCUGACCGAGCGACGCCGCGUGCGGGAUGAAGGUCUUCGGAUUGUAAACCGCUGUCAGAGGGGAUGAAGUAUACGAGAGCUAUCUCUUGUAUUUGACAGAGCCUCAGAGGAAGCACGGGCUAAGUUCGUGCCAGCAGCCGCGGUAAUACGAACUGUGCGAACGUUAUUCGGAAUCACUGGGCUUAAAGGGUGCGUAGGCGGUUAUCUAAGUCACGUGUGAAAUCCUCCGGCUCAACCGGAAAACUGCGCGUGAUACUGGAUGACUUGAGUGAGGUAGGGGUGUGUGGAACUUCCGGUGGAGCGGUGAAAUGUGUAGAGAUCGGAAGGAACGCCAGCAGCGAAAGCGGCACACUGGGCCUUUUCUGACGCUGAGGCACGAAAGCUAGGGGAGUGAACGGGAUUAGAUACCCCGGUAAUCCUAGCCGUAAACACUGAACACUGGAGGAAGGGGGCUUCGGCCUUCUUUCUCGUAGCGAAAGCGUUAAGUGUUCCGCCUGGGGAGUAUGGUCGCAAGGC